AGCAGUAUGGUGUAACGUCUGCACAUAGGAGUCUAUUAACUGAUGGGUAGGGUUGAAUUACAUAAUCCUGGGGUCCUUGUUCGAAUCAAGGUACUGCUU